rnacentral:rRNA from 1 species
UAAUUUUUGUAAAAUUAAGUAUUUAAAAAAAUUUUUUAUUUCUAGGGUAAAAUCAGGAAAUUUAAUAUUCUUUUACUUAAUUUAUAAGGUUUGAUAAACAAACCAGAUUAGUACCUGGUUAGACAAAAUUUAAAAGAGCAGGAGUAAAGUUAUAUUUAAACUGUAAGGAUAUUGGCAGGCUUUUUAAAUUAUCUUUGGAGGUUGAGUAGUAAUUGAGAACCCUCAUUUUCAUCUUCUAUUUUAGGCGCAUGUAUGAUCGUUUAUUUUAUUCUUAAGGAUUGUAAUCAUAAAUUUUUAUUUAUAAAAACAGAUAAAUACCUGGUUUAUAUAGAAGUUUAAAUUUGACCUACAAUAUUUAAUAUAUUUGGAUUUUUACCUGAGACGGUAUUAUGAAAUUGUAAAAGACAGUAAAUCAUUUUUUAUAUAUGAUUGAAGUUUAUUUAAUAGCGGUACAAAUCAUC